UGUUUUUUAACCAAAAUAAAUUUUAAAGAUUUAUCCCGGUAUUAAUCGUGGCUGUAUCGUGAUUGGCCAAAAUUUCAAACUUUGACUUUCGUGAAUUCUGAUUGGACAAUUGCCAUUCCGCCAUCAAAUUUUGAAAUGGGCAAAGAAGACAGGAGUUGUUGUGAAGAUUUUCCUGAUUUUUUCAAGAAAUAUGCAGAACCACAGCGUGUUGUAUGUAGUAAUGAAACUGCAAGCAGUGGUUUCAUAAAAAUAGACAUGCUUAAGACCUGGAUGAUAUGGCUUUAGUUGUGGAUGACCAUUUCCAUUCAGGAAAAAAUCCCAACCAAGUCCAGCUAGCAGACUGUACACCAGAUUGAAGAUACAUCAUUAAUACAAGAUGAAAAAAAUUAAUGGAGGACGAGGAUAAUACUAUGAAAGAGAUCAUAUACAAGAGCAACCGUUCCCAUAGAAAUACAUGCAGCCAUGUAAACAGAAACCAGUUUUCACCUGCCAGGUGCUGGUCACAUAUAUAUUCAACUUGGAAGUUCAACAGAUUCAAGAAACAGAUCCAGUUGUUUGCUGAUAAAUUACUGCAGGUCAUUGGUAUCAUCUAGAACCAGGACUGUUUUAAAAAUCAUACUAGUAUGUUUGGAACAAAAUCAUGCUAGUAUAUGUUAGGAAUUUAAC